rnacentral:tRNA from 1 species
CAUUAAGAAGCUAGUAGCGCUAACCUUUUAAGUUAGAGACAGAGAACAUGCUUCUCCUUAAUGA